GUGCUCGCUUCACAGCACACAUACUAAAAUUGGAACGACACAGAGAAGAUUAGCAUGGCCCCUGUGCAAGCACACAGGCAAAUUCCUGAAGUGUUCCAUAUUUUG